AUUGAACGCUGGCGGUAGGCCUAACACAUGCAAGUCGAACGCGAAAGUCCUUCGGGAUGAGUAGAGUGGCGGACGGGUGAGUAACGCGUAGGAAUCUAUCCUGUAGUGGGGGAGUAACGUUUCGAAAGGAACGCUAAUACCGCAUACGCCCCAAGGGGGAAAGCGGGGGAGUCUUCGGACCUCGUGCUAUAGGAGGAGCCUGCGUCGGAUUAGCUAGUUGGUGAGGUAAAGGCUCACCAAGGCGACGAUCCGUAGCUGGUCUGAGAGGAUGAUCAGCCACACCGGAACUGAGACACGGUCCGGACUCCUACGGGAGGCAGCAGUGGGGAAUAUUGCGCAAUGGGCGAAAGCCUGACGCAGCCAUACCGCGUGUGUGAAGAAGGCCUUCGGGUUGGUUAAAGACACUCUCAGUGGGGAGGGAAAAGAC
rnacentral:rRNA from 1 species